rnacentral:tRNA from 1 species
GCGAGCUUAGGUUAGUAGGAAAACUCUCGUCCUUCCAAGUCGAGGUCGCCGGUUCGAGUCCGGCAGUUCGCUCCA